rnacentral:rRNA from 1 species
UACGUAGGCAGCGAGCGUUGUUCGGAAUUACUGGGCGUAAAGAGUGUGUAGGCGGUGCUCUAAGUUCGGGGUGAAAUCUCCCGGCUUAACUGGGAGGGUGCGCCGGAAACUGGAGUGCUCGAGCGUGGGAGAGGAAAGCGGAAUUCCUGGUGUAGCGGUGAAAUGCGUAGAUAUCAGGAGGAACACCUGCGGUGUAGACGGCUUUCUGGACCAUUGCUGACGCUGAGACACGAAAGCGUGGGUAGCAAACAGG